AUAGUGCAGCAGAUAAACAAUUGUUCACAUGGUUAUACAAGCAUUAGAUUUGGCAUAAAUGUUCUUCAUAAAUGUUUGAGAAAAAGUGCUGGCCGCUUGAAAAUCCAAUAUGGCGGCCAGGUAGGGGUCAAUGAAGAAUACACAGGGGUCAAAAUU